AUUGAACGCUGGCGGCAGGCCUAACACAUGCAAGUCGAGCGGAUGAAGGGAGCUUGCUCCUGGAUUCAGCGGCGGACGGGUGAGUAAUGCCUAGGAAUCUGCCUGGUAGUGGGGGAUAACGUCCGGAAACGGGCGCUAAUACCGCAUACGUCCUGAGGGAGAAAGUGGGGGAUCUUCGGACCUCACGCUAUCAGAUGAGCCUAGGUCGGAUUAGCCAGUUGGUGGGGUAAAGGCCUACCAAGGCGACGAUCCGUAACUGGUCUGAGAGGAUGAUCAGUCACACUGGAACUGAGACACGGUCCAGACUCCUACGGGAGGUAGCAGUGGGGAAUAUUGGACAAUGGGCGAAAGCCUGAUCCAGCCAUGCCGCGUGUGUGAAGAAGGUCUUCGGAUUGUAAAGCACUUUAAGUUGGGAGGAAGGGCAGUAAGUUAAUACCUUGCUGUUUUGACGUUACCAACAGAAUAAGCACCGGCUAACUUCGUG
rnacentral:rRNA from 1 species